GGAGAGAUGGCUGAGUGGUUGAUAGCCCCGGUCUUGAA
rnacentral:tRNA from 1 species